GAUGAACGCUGGCGGCGUGCUUAACACAUGCAAGUCGAACGAUGAAGCCCAGCUUGCUGGGUGGAUUAGUGGCGAACGGGUGAGUAACACGUGAGUAACCUGCCCUUAACUCUUGGUUAAGCCUGGGAAACUGGGUCUAAUACCGGAUAGGAGCGCCUACCGCAUGGUGGGUGUUGGAAAGAUUUAUCGGUUUUGGUUGGACUCGCGGCCUAUCAGCUUGUUGGUGAGGUAAUGGCUCACCAAGGCGACGACGGGUAGCCGGCCUGAGAGGGUGACCGGCCACACUGGGACUGAGACACGGCCCAGACUCCUACGGGAGGCAGCAGUGGGGAAUAUUGCACAAUGGGCGAAAGCCUGAUGCAGCGACGCCGCGUGAGGGAUGACGGCCUUCGGGUUGUAAAACUCUUUAAGUAGGGAAGAAGCGAAAGUGACGGUACCUGCAGAAGAAGCACCGGCUAACUACGUG
rnacentral:rRNA from 1 species